rnacentral:rRNA from 1 species
UACGGAGGGUGCGAGCGUUGUCCGGAAUUACUGGGCGUAAAGCGCACGUAGGCGGCUUCGCAAGUCAGAGGUGAAAGCCUGGGGCUCAACCCCAGAAUUGCCUUUGAGACUGCGUCGCUCGAAUCCGGGAGAGGCGGGUGGAAUUCCGAGUGUAUAGGUGAAAUUCGUAGAUAUUCGGAAGAACACCAGUGGCGAAGGCGGCCCGCUGGACCGGCAUUGACGCUGAGGUGCGAAAGCGUGGGGAGCAAACAGG